AGUGAACGCUGGCGGCAUGCCUUACACAUGCAAGUCGAACGGCAGCACGGGGGGUAACCCCUGGUGGCGAGUGGCGAACGGGUGAGUAAUAUAUCGGAACGUGUCCUGUAGCGGGGGAUAACCUAUCGAAAGAUGGACUAAUACCGCAUACGACCUACGGGUGAAAGCGGAGGACCGCAAGGCUUCGCACUAUAGGAGCGGCCGAUAUCGGCUUAGCUAGUUGGCGGGGUAGAGGCCGACCAAGGCGACGAUCCGUAGCUGGUCUGAGAGGACGAUCAGCCACACUGGAACUGAGACACGGUCCAGACUCCUACGGGAGGCAGCAGUGGGGAAUUUUGGACAAUGGGCGCAAGCCUGAUCCAGCCAUGCCGCGUGAGUGAAGAAGGCCUUCGGGUUGUAAAGCUCUUUCGGAGGGGACGAAACGGUUCGUGCUAAUACCACGGACUACUGACGGUACCCGCAGAAGAAGCACCGGCUAACUACGUG
rnacentral:rRNA from 1 species